rnacentral:rRNA from 1 species
UACGUAGGAUGCAAGCGUUGUCCGGAAUUAUUGGGCGUAAAGAGCGCGCAGGCGGUCUAUUAAGCCAGAUGUGAAAUAUCCCGGCUUAACCGGGAGGGGUCAUUUGAAACUGGUAGACUAGAGUACAGCAGAGGAUAGCGGAAUUCCCGGUGUAGUGGUGAAAUGCGUAGAUAUCGGGAGGAACACCAGUGGCGAAGGCGGCUAUCUGGGCUGAAACUGACGCUGAGGCGCGAAGGCUAGGGGAGCAAACAGG